AGAUAGCUUUUGCGAAUAGAUGAUAUUUCAUACAUCCUCCUCGACACCUGAAAUCUGCUACACAUAUAAAAUGGGGAUGCUGUAUAUAAUAAUCAUGGCUUUCUUUAAUACAGCGACGUUUGCCCUUAACUUCUGCUCUCAACCAAACGAACAAUUGCACUACUGCUCUUCAAAGAACAAGGUGUAUGAUCGGCUGUGCCCGCAAGCACCCCGGAAGCACUGCGAGCAUGUUGGAGAGCAAAUGUGCCUCUGUAACGAAGGAUUCUAUCGGCUGAGGUUUUGGUACCCUUGCGUUAGAAAGAGGGACUGCGUCAAGAGAGAAAUCAGCCACCUCCUGCUACUCUGUGGCCGAGAAACCCUUUACUUAGUUGGGGCAUCAGCGACUAUAUUUGGUACAAAUAAGGUGAAGUGUAUGAAAUCAUCAUUUUAUCGUAAUUAUAGCAAUGGUUGUAACCGCCAAGUAGAGUUCGACGAGACAACCGAAGCGAAGUCAUGGCCA